rnacentral:rRNA from 1 species
AGAGUUUGAUCAUGGCUCAGAGCGAACGCUGGCGGCAGGCUUAACACAUGCAAGUCGAGCGGGCGUAGCAAUACGUCAGCGGCAGACGGGUGAGUAACGCGUGGGAACGUACCUUUUGGUUCGGAACAACACAGGGAAACUUGUGCUAAUACCGGAUAAGCCCUUACGGGGAAAGAUUUAUCGCCGAAAGAUCGGCCCGCGUCUGAUUAGCUAGUUGGUGAGGUAACGGCUCACCAAGGCGACGAUCAGUAGCUGGUCUGAGAGGAUGAUCAGCCACAUUGGGACUGAGACACGGCCCAAACUCCUACGGGAGGCAGCAGUGGGGAAUAUUGGACAAUGGGCGCAAGCCUGAUCCAGCCAUGCCGCGUGAGUGAUGAAGGCCCUAGGGUUGUAAAGCUCUUUUGUGCGGGAAGAUAAUGACGGUACCGCAAGAAUAAGCCCCGGCUAACUCCGUGCCAGCAGCCGCGGUAAUACGGAGGGAGCUAGCGUUGUUCGGAAUUACUGGGCGUAAAGCGCACGUAGGCGGCCAUUCAAGUCAGAGGUGAAAGCCCGGGGCUCAACCCCGGAACUGCCUUUGAAACUAGAUGGCUUGAAUCUUGGAGAGGCGAGUGGAAUUCCGAGUGUAGAGGUGAAAUUCGUAGAUAUUCGGAAGAACACCAGUGGCGAAGGCGACUCGCUGGACAAGUAUUGACGCUGAGGAGCGAAAGCGUGGGGAGCGAACAGGAUUAGAUACCCUGGUAGUCCAA